rnacentral:rRNA from 1 species
CCUACGGGUGGCAGCAGUGAGGAAUAUUGGUCAAUGGCCGGAAGGCUAAACCAGCCAAGCCGCGUGAAGGACGAAGGUGCCAAGCAUUGUAAACUUCUUUUGUCAAGGGACAAAAUCAGGCUCGAGAGCCUGACCGAGGGUACUUGACGAAAAAGCAUCGGCUAACUCCGUGCCAGCAGCCGCGGUAAUACGGAGGAUGCGAGCGUUAUCCGGAUUUAUUGGGUUUAAGGGGUGCGUAGGCGGGUUAUCAAGUCAGCGGUAAAAUCGUGGAGCUCAACUCCAUCCAGCCGUUGAAACUGAUGAUCUUGAGUGGGCGAGAGGUAUGUGGAAUGCGUGGUGUAGCGGUGAAAUGCAUAGAUAUCACGCAGAACUCCGAUUGCGAAGGCAGCAUACCGGCGCCCGACUGACGCUGAAGCACGAAAGCGUGGGUAUCGAACAGGAUUAGAUACCCCAGUAGUC